UGGGGAAUUUUGGACAAUGGGGGAAACCCUGAUCCAGCCAUCCCGCGUGUGCGAUGAAGGCCUUCGGGUUGUAAAGCACUUUUGGCAGGAAAGAAACGUCGCGGGUUAAUACCCCGCGAAACUGACGGUACCUGCAGAAUAAGCACCGGCUAACUACGUGCCAGCAGCCGCGGUAAUACGUAGGGUGCAAGCGUUAAUCGGAAUUACUGGGCGUAAAGCGUGCGCAGGCGGUUCGGAAAGAAAGAUGUGAAAUCCCAGAGCUUAACUUUGGAACUGCAUUUUUAACUACCGGGCUAGAGUGUGUCAGAGGGAGGUGGAAUUCCGCGUGUAGCAGUGAAACGCGUAGAUAUGCGGAGGAACACCGAUGGCGAAGGCAGCCUCCUGGGAUAACACUGACGCUCAUGCACGAAAGCGUGGGGAGCAAACAGGAUUAGAUACCCUGGUAGUCCACGCCCUAAACGAUGUCAACUAGCUGUUGGGGCCUUCGGGCCUUGGUAGCGCAGCUAACGCGUGAAGUUGACCGCCUGGGGAGUACGGUCGCAAGAUUAAAACUUAAAAUGAAUUGACGGGGUCAUAGCUGUUUCCUG
rnacentral:rRNA from 1 species